AUGUCAUGCCCGCACGUGAGCGGCGUCGCCGCGCUGCUCCGGCAAGCGAGGCCGGAGUGGAGCCCCGCGGCGAUCAAGUCCGCCCUGAUGACGACCGCUUACAACGCGGACAGCGCAGGCAGCGUCAUCGGCGACGCGUCCACGCCGUUCGCGCGCGGGGCCGGGCACAUCGACCCCAACCGCGCUGCGAACCCGGGCCUCGUGUACGACGCCGGCACGGAGGACUACAUCGACUUCCUGUGCGCGCUCGGGUACACCGCCGAGCAGGUCGCCGUGUUCGGGUCGUCCGCCAACUGCUCGGCCCGUGCGCAGUGGGGCUCCUUCGUGGGCGACCACAACUAUCCGGCCUUCGCGGUGGUGUUCACCCUGUCGUGCGCAACGUCGGCGGCGAUGCCAGGGCCACGUACAGGGCCAGGGUCACCGCUCCGGAUGGCGUGCGCGUCACGGUGA
rnacentral:rRNA from 1 species